AUUGAACGCUGGCGGCAGGCCUAACACAUGCAAGUCGAGCGGAGCGGCUGACGGGUGAGUAAUGCCUACGAAUCUGCCUUGUCGUGGGGGAUAACGUCCGUAAACGGGCGCUAAUACCGCAUCCUAUCAGAUGAGCCUAGGUCGGAUUAUCUAGUUGGUGGGGUAAAGGCCUACCAAGGCGACGAUCCGUAACUGGUCUGAGAGGAUGAUGAGUCAAACUGGAACUGAAAAAAGGUCCAAACUCCGACGGGAGGAAGCAGUGGGGAAUAUUGGACAAGGGGCGAAAGCCGGAUCCAGACAUGCGGGGUGGGGGAAGAAGGUCUUCGGAUGGUAAAGCCCUUUAAGUUGGGAGGCGUUAACAACAGAAUAAGCACCGGCUAACUUCGUGCCAGCAGCCGCGGUAAUAC
rnacentral:rRNA from 1 species